AGAGUUUGAUCAUGGCUCAGAUUGAACGCUGGCGGCAGGCCUAACACAUGCAAGUCGAGCGGCAGCGGGAAAGUAGCUUGCUACUUUUGCCGGCGAGCGGCGGACGGGUGAGUAAUGCCUGGGAAAUUGCCCAGUCGAGGGGGAUAACAGUUGGAAACGACUGCUAAUACCGCAUACGCCCUACGGGGGAAAGCAGGGGACCUUCGGGCCUUGCGCGAUUGGAUAUGCCCAGGUGGGAUUAGCUAGUUGGUGAGGUAAUGGCUCACCAAGGCGACGAUCCCUAGCUGGUCUGAGAGGAUGAUCAGCCACACUGGAACUGAGACACGGUCCAGACUCCUACGGGAGGCAGCAGUGGGGAAUUUUGGACAAUGGGCGAAAGCCUGAUCCAGCCAUGCCGCGUGAGUGAAGAAGGCCUUCGGGUUGUAAAGCUCUUUUGUCCGGGAGGAAAUCCUGGCCCCUAAUACGGGUCGGGGAUGACAGUACUGGAAGAAUAAGCACCGGCUAACUACGUGCCAGCAGCCGCGGUAAU
rnacentral:rRNA from 1 species